rnacentral:rRNA from 1 species
CCUCGACUUGCGAAUUAUCUGCAUCGCCCUCGCCUUGAAACAUUCCAUCUCUGCCAAAUCCACACCUAGGCGCCCUCCCGUCUUCCCGGGAAAAGCAGUAAGGCUCUCACCGGAUAGCUUCAUCGACAACAUGCUCCAACCAGAAAAAGAAAGGGAUGACCGAGGGGAUUGAAUAGAAAACCACUAGGAAGAAGAAAUCAGGAUUAUUGGGACAGAGUAGAUGACUUAGAAGUAGGAUUCGAAGACGAGACAGAUAACAGAGGAAGGGAGACCAAUACAUGAGAAUGGGAAAGAGAUAGAGGGGGAAUCUAGAGGAAAACCAGAUCAGAAGAGAAGAUAGCUGAGGGGAGAAGGGAUCAGGGGGAACCGGGAAGGGAAGCACGGCAUAGACGCCAGUCGCCGGCAAAUCGCCCAAAUCGCCACUAGGCACUGUAGCACCA